rnacentral:rRNA from 1 species
UUAAAAACCAAUGCCCUUCGGGGCUCACUGGUGAUUCAUGAUAACUCCUCGAAUCNCAUGGCCUUGUGCCGGCGAUGGUUCAUUCAAAUUUCUUCCCUAUCAACUUUCGAUGUUUGGGUAUUGGCCAAACAUGGUUGCAACGGGUAACGGAGGGUUAGGGCUCGACCCCGGAGAAGGAGCCUGAGAAACGGCUACUACAUCCAAGGAAGGCAGCAGGCGCGCAAAUUACCCAAUCCCGACACGGGGAGGUAGUGACAAUAAAUACUGAUACAGGGCUCUUUUGGGUCUUGUAAUUGGAAUGAGUACAAUUUAAAUCCCUUAACGAGGAACAAUUGGAGGGCAAGUCUGGUGCC